GACGAACGCUGGCGGCGUGCCUAACACAUGCAAGUCGAACGGGGUAGCAAUACCCAGUGGCGGACGGGUGCGUAACACGUGAGGAACAUGUCUUUCGCGGGGAGUAGCCGGCCUAACGGCCGGGUAGUACCGCGUACGACGAUUGGGCGGCAUGCCUUGAUCGUGAAAGACAGCAAUGCACCGAUAGAGUGCCUCGCGGCCUAUCAGCUAGUUGGUUGAGGUAAUGGCUCACCAAGGCGACGACGGGUAGCUGGUCUGAGAGGAUGAUCAGCCACAUUGGGACUGA
rnacentral:rRNA from 1 species